rnacentral:rRNA from 1 species
AUUGAACGCUGCCGGCAUGCUUUACACAUGCAAGUCGACCGGAAACGGGCCUUCGGUUGCUGACGCGGGCCGCACGGGCACUUAAUGCAUCGGAACGUACCCAGGGGUGGGGGAAAACGCCUCGAAAUCUGUCCUAAUACCCCAUGUGACCGGAGCAUCACACCGGGGGACCGGCCAGCAAUGUUUGGCCUCGCGCCUUUGGAUCGCCCGAUGUCGAGUUGGCUGUUUGGUGGGGUAAAGGCCUACCAAGGCGACGAUCCGUAGCUGGUCUGAGAGGACGACCAGCCACACUAGGACUAAGACACGGCGCAGACGGCUAGGGGAGGCAGCAGUCGGGAAUCAUGGACAAUGGGCGCAAGCCUGAUCCAGCACUGCCGCGUGAGGGAAGAAGGCCUUCGGGUUGGAAAGCGCCUUUCGCAGGAACGAAACGGUGUCCGCUAAUACCGGGCGCUAAUGACGGUACCUGGAGAAUAAGCACCGGCUAACUACGUG